rnacentral:rRNA from 1 species
GACGAACGCUGGCGGCGUGCUUAACACAUGCAAGUCGAACGGAAAGGCCCUGCUUUUGUGGGGUGCUCGAGUGGCGAACGGGUGAGUAACACGUGAGUAUCCUGCCCUUGACUUUGGGAUAACUUCAGGAAACUGGGGCUAUUACCGGUUAGGCGCUCCCGCUGCAUGGUGGGGGUUGGAAAGUUUCGGCGGUUGGGGAUGGACUCUCGGCUUAUCGGCUUGUUGGUGGGGGAGUGGCUGACCAAGGCUUUGACGGAGAGCCGGCCUGGGAGGGUGACCGGCCACAUUGGGACUGAGAUACGGCCCAGACUACUACGGGAGGCAGCAGUGGGGAAUAUUGCACAAUGGGCGGAAGCCUGAUGCAGCAACGCCGCGUGCGGGAUGACGGCCUUCGGGUUGGAAACCGCUUUCGCCUGUGACGAAGCGGGAGUGACGGUAAUGGAUAAAGAAGCACCGGCUAACUACGUG